rnacentral:rRNA from 1 species
GUGAGGAAUAUUGGACAAUGGGCGCAAGCCUGAUCCAGCCAUGCCGCGUGCAGGAAGACGCAUCUAUGGUGUGUAAACUGCUUUUGUACGGGAAGAAACACUCCCUCGUGAGGGAGCUUGACGGUACCGUAAGAAUAAGGAUCGGCCAACUCCGUGCCAGCAGCCGCGGUAAUACGGAGGAUCCAAGCGUUAUCCGGAAUCAUUGGGUUUAAAGGGUCCGUAGGCGGUUUAAUAAGUCAGUGGUGAAAGCCCAUCGCUCAACGAUGGAACGGCCAUUGAUACUGUUAGACUUGAAUUACAAGGAAGUAACUAGAAUAUGUAGUGUAGCGGUGAAAUGCUUAGAUAUUAUAUGGAAUACCAAUUGCGAAGGCAGGUUACUACUUGUGGAUUGACGCUGAUGGACGAAAGCGUGGGGAGCGAACAGGAUUAGAAACCCUGGUAGUCC